UGAGCCUGGCAGAGGUACUGGAGUGGGGGCUAUUCUCCGAUUUUGGAAUCUUCUAAUAGGCACCUCGGAUGAACCCUGUUCUUGAAUCAUCCUCUCAAAUUCUGAAUGACAGUUACUGACACACCACCCCCUGAGCCAGCUGUCACAGACAGAAAAAUGCAAGUUUCUGGAAGACAAGGAUCCUUCACCUGACUUAGUGCUGCACAUGGCUGGCCUGAGGCCAAACUACGCAGGGGUAACAGCAGUAACCGGCAUGCCCUGCAGCUCCCACAACCAUUGUAUUCAGUGCCCCUGACCCCAUGGCAGGCCACUGUUGACCCACAGCUCUGCCGGAGACUCCUGGACACUCACAGACUCCAAGAUGUACUCCAGACAGAAAUACCUGCAAAGGAAAAAUCAGGACAAUGGACAGCACCAGAAAAGGCCACCUUUGACCAGGCUGGGGAGCUCCUCUUAGAGGAAAUGUCUUAAAUAUAUUCAGAGUCAAGGCCUCUCCCAGAAUGAUUACACUGUUACAGUCUUGCCAUUGGGCUUCCCAGUAUAAAGCAUAACGUCUGGAUUUGAAGAGAUCCUUACAGAUACUAUUUGGCUGAAUACAUUCAACAUAUAGUUUACAUACAGAUCAAUAAAG